GUUGCCGCACGCUUUUACGUCAUGAACAAGAUGGCGGCCUCCAUGGUGCAGACAGGAGAAGACGCGUUUAGGAAAAUAUUCAAGUAUUACAAGAGACGAAACCCUCCGCCAGAUUUCAGCGACGUCUUAGAUUUUUCUAAAACAACACUGCUUGACAAGGUCGUUGCAGUCACACUGAACCCUGCUGCAGUGAGCGACGUGGAGGCUGCCACGGUUGGAUUACAGCCGGUCAGAAGCUGGAGAGCCUUCAGUCUGCAGGGGCACCCAGGCUUCAUCUUCAUCUGCAACCCGUUUCUGCCCGGCUCCCAACCCUUCUGGGUCAGACAGUGUCUGAAGACCUACCCACAAAAGCCCAAUGUGUGCAAUCUGGACAUGCACAUGUGCCCCACCGACACCCAGGACAUCUGGGGGAAGAGCCUACGGGGGCUCAGUGUCCUUCCUUCUGCAAAAAGACAAGAAAAGACUUUACUGGAGAGGCUGCGCUGGGUAACACUAGGAUAUCAUUACAACUGGGAUGCAAAGACCUACUCUGCCGACCACUACACUCCUUUCCCAGCUGAUCUCCAGACGCUGUCCGUCCAAAUAACAGCUGCCUGUGGCUUCCCAGGAUUUUCCCCAGAGGCGGGAAUCCUCAACUACUAUCGAUCUGAUUCUUCUCUAGGAAUCCAUGUAGAUGAAUCUGAACUAGAUCACAGCCGCCCACUGCUGUCCCUCAGUUUUGGGCAGACUGCCAUCUUUCUUCUGGGAGGACUGUGUAGAAAGGAUCCACCCGCAGCGCUGUACAUGCACAGUGGGGAUGUGAUGGUGAUGUCAGGACAGAGCCGUCUCCUGUACCACGCCGUUCCACGCAUCGUCCCAGCGCCGCAGAGACAUCCAGAUUUAGAGGUGGACAGCCACAACUUGGCUUUGAGCCGGCAGGACGGUGCAGUGGUGGAGUCUGUGUCAGAGGAAGACUGGGCCGUGUGUUCCAGGUACAUCCAGAGCUCCAGAGUCAAUGUGACUGUCAGACAGGUGCUGGGGCCUGGACAGAGCUUCCCACAAACAAGCACUGAUGUAAAGCAGACAGCUCACAGCACGGAGGAGGGACAGAGUGGGAAGAGGAAGAGGAGCGAGACUGCACAGACAUGAAAUGGAUUCAUGCCAUUAGAGAUGUGACUCUGCAGGACCGGUUUUGCUGUUCAUGGAGUCAUCAUUUGCAAUAAUACGGUUUUACCUCGAGCCAAAACUUCUUAUUUUUUGGACUGGAGAGAUUGAUGGCUUUCUGCUGGAGAUAGGGGUUAAUGCCAGCCCACACUACUGACCCCUCACCCAGAACCUGAAGCAGGCCCCCAGCAGCGCUUUAAUGUGGCCCUGCAGAACAAGAGCCCGGGUGGAAAUGACCAUAGGCCUGUUGAAAGCACGUCUUCAGUGCCUACGUCACCUCAGGGAAACACCUGAGAGGCCUGUGACAUUAUUGGGACAUGUGUUGUUCUCCACAUUAUUGCAAUUAUUGGAGGGGAGCAACACCCUGCUUUACAAAUACAAGACCCUGAGGAAGACUCCUUCCAUCAUGGUAAUCUGCAGAGUGGAUGGACAGUCAGAGAUGUGAUUUGCUUUAAUGUCUUAAUCAACCAUCACCACCAAUAAAAGAAACUGAAUAGAUGUAAA